rnacentral:rRNA from 1 species
GACGAACGCUGGCGGCGUGCUUAACACAUGCAAGUCGAACGGAAAGGCCCUGCUUUUGUGGGGUGCUCGAGUGGCGAACGGGUGAGUAACACGUGAGUAACCUGCCCUUGACUUUGGGAUAACUUCAGGAAACUGGGGCUAAUACCGGAUAGGAGCUCCUGCUGCAUGGUGGGGGUUGGAAAGUUUCGGCGGUUGGGGAUGGACUCGCGGCUUAUCAGCUUGUUGGUGGGGUAGUGGCUACCAAGGCUUUGACGGGUAGCCGGCCUGAGAGGGUGACCGGCCGCAUUGGGACUGAGAUACGGCCCAGACUCCUACGGGAGGCAGCAGUGGGGAAUAUUGCACAAUGGGCGGAAGCCUGAUGCAGCAACGCCGCGUGCGGGAUGACGGCCUUCGGGUUGUAAACCGCUUUCGCCUGUGACGAAGCGUGAGUGACGGUAAUGGGUAAAGAAGCACCGGCUAACUACGUG